rnacentral:rRNA from 1 species
UACAGAGGGGGCAAGCGUUGUUCGGAAUUACUGGGCGUAAAGGGCGCGUAGGCGGCCGCCUAAGUCAGACGUGAAAUCCCUCGGCUUAACCGGGGAACUGCGUCCGAUACUGGAUGGCUCGAGUUUGGGAGAGGGAUGCGGAAUUCCAGGUGUAGCGGUGAAAUGCGUAGAUAUCUGGAGGAACACCGGUGGCGAAGGCGGCAUCCUGGACCAACACUGACGCUGAUGAGCGAAAGCCAGGGGAGCAAACGGG